rnacentral:rRNA from 1 species
UACUGCGUGCCUCCAUAUGUUUGUUUACACUUCUUAUGCCACAGAUAGUCACAACGUGACUAUCUCGUCCCCUCUUUUUUUUUCUGCCGCUUGCUUUGUUACCGUCGGCUUCCUCCAGACUUCGACGAGCCGAACUGCCACUCGGGCAAGCACUAGGCACAUGCGUACCGCGACGUCUACUUUCCGCAGCCGAUGCUCAUGCACCUCGUCCUGGACAAGUGGUUCCCGCUCGAGGAGGCGUUCAGGUUGGGCCACGUGUACUUCCAGGGCCACGAGUAGGUGCUGCCGUCUGGGCAGACGCUCAGCGACCGGUAGCACGUCAUGCAGCUGCUCCGGACCCGCCGGCGCCCGGGGAGCUAGGAGGGGCGGCUGGGGAUGCUGGCGCGGCGGCGAGCGAAGACCCGGCGGAUGCGGCUGUCGUUCGAGAACGGCCGCACCCAUCCGUAGUACACCCGCCUCUGCCUCCUCCUCUCCCGCCUCUUCCAGCCGCUGUGCGAGCGCCGAUAGCCGGUCAACCUCCUCCGCAAGCCCUGCACGAGCUUGCCAUUCCGGAAGAAGCGGCCGCUGAGGCAGCCCAUGGAUCUAGAGCAGCAGCCGAGCGUCAACGAGACCAAGCUCCACGACGCCUUCUACAAGCCGCAGCACCAGCAACUCCAGCCGUCCCGAGACGAGAACCGGCGCACCCACCUCGCCAAACCCCUCUGACUAUGCCGGUUCCUCCACCACGGCCUGCAACUGUGCCGCCACCUCAUGGAGUUCUUCGAAGUCAGAGCGGCCCGACCAAGGUGCCAACGGGUCGACGACAGCACUGUUUUAAUGUACAGUCAAUCGUUCAUAUAUGUCGCUAAAAAGACAAAUCCGGUCGAGAUAUUAGUACAGAACGUUCCUAAGUUUCUUACUUGACCAAAGGGAGGACUGUGGUGCAUCUAUGAAGAGGUUUCUCCUACUGUUUAGCAAACAUUCUUUAGUAUUCAUGUAUAUAAGAAACAGUACGUAUAUCAGGACUGUUAUGAUGCCCCGAUAUUACAUCUAUGUUAGUAUAGAUGGCUAGCCACGCCUAUUCUCAUGCGAGUUCCCUAGUAUGUCCAAAUCCGGGAGUCGCCCUCCAUUAUGGAAUGAAGUUACAACACAAAAACGAGAACCGUAUCCAAUGUUAUACUCUCAAGUUGGGAGUCAGGUAACGGGAUGAGCUGAAUAUUUGUCA